rnacentral:lncRNA from 10 species
UUGGACUAUUCCUGCCUCAGUCUAAAACUGAAAAAAGCAAACAAUAGUUACUAAGUGCUCCUGCAUUCCAAAGUAAAGGGCAAGACCACUUCUACAGAACUUGCAAAGUAAAUAAUAAGAAGUCAGUUUUGCCGUGAUUCACUCAUCAACCAUCUUGAGGGUAUAAAAGGAUUAACGUUAAAAAGUGGAGAAUUACUGCCAAAAGUUAUGGGGUGCUAUAAUACUUUCUCUUUCCAUCACAGAAGAGGGGAAGAGGGUAAGUAAAAGAAGCUUCUAGUGACCUGCUAAGGGAGUUUGAUCUUGACCACCUGGUAUAUGUAGUGUCCAAGACUAAUGUCAGACCAUGCCUGACAUUAGUGAGAAGCUGAAACCUAUAGCCACGGAGCAGAAAACUUCACUAGGAACAAAGUACCCUUCUUUGUGAGACAAGGGCAGGUGACUGUUUUCUGUGUGAGAUUUGGGUCACAUGGAGAAAAAAACCUACCUGGAGCAAUCUUAAAGAGGACUGAUGGGAAGAUUGUCUGCGACACACUGCUGGAUAUCCCAGAGGCUGAGGCUCAAUUCAUGAGAAUUACAAAUAGAGAGCUCCAGUGGGAGUACUUAUAUGGAAGCUACAAUCAUAGCACCUGAAAUAAAGGUAAUCACCCUUGGAGCCCUGCCAUAGACAAAAGAGGCCAAGGAGGGUGGACGGCUUGAGCUCAGGAGUUCAAGACCAGCCUGGGCAACAUAGUGAAACCCUGUCUCUACAAAAAGCAUACAAAAUUAGCCAGGUGUGGUGGUAUGCACCUGUAGUCCCAGCUACUCAGGAGGCUGAAGUAGGAGGAUCACCUGAGCUCGGGAAGUUGAGGCAGUGAGCAGAGAUUGUGCUACCGCAUUCCAACCUGGGCAAUGGGAGUGAAACCUUGUCUCAAAAAAAAAAAAAAGAAGAAGAAGAAGAAGAAGGACAUAAAGAAAGAAAAUAUUUUGUAAGACUGUACAAUGUAUUUGUGUUUUAAGCUAAAUUUUAUUACAAAAGAGUCAAUAAAUUUAAAAUUUUAAGUUUAUGAAGUAAAAAAAAGCUACAGUAAGCUAAGGUUAAUUUAUUAUUAAAGAAAGAAAAACAUUUUAAAUAAAUUUAGUAUAUCCUAAUUGUACAGUGUUUAGAACGUCUACAGUAAUGCAAUGUCUGAGGUCUUCACAUUCACUCACCACUCAUUCACUGACUCACCCAGAGCAACUUCCAGUCCUGCAAGUUCCAUUCAUGGAAAGCACCCCAUAUCAUUUUGUAUCUUUUAUACGGUAUUUUUACUGUACCUUUCUUAUGUUUAGAUACACAGAUACUUACCAUUGUGUUACAAUUGCCCAUGGUAUUCAGUACAGUAACAUGCUGCAUAGGUUUGUGACCUAGGAGCAACAGGCUGCACCAUAUAGCCUAGGUGCGUAGUAGACUACACCAUCUAGGUUUGUGUUAAGUCCUCUCUGUAAUGGGCACACAGCGACAGAAUUGCCUAACCAUGAAUUUCUCAGAAUUUAUCCCCUUCAUUAAGCGAUACCUGACUGUAUAUACUUUGAAAGUAGAGGUGACAGGAAUUAUUGAUGGAAUGAAUAUUGUUGUGAGGGAAAAGAGAAAAAUCAAGAAAAAACCUACAAGAAUCCCUGUCCGCAAGGAAACAAUCUGUUGCUUGAUAUUUCUAGAGUAAAACUUAAACCAGGCCCUACAAAGCGAAGGAGCAUGGCUCUGUUUUAGAGCAUUGGUGAGGACUAGUUCUAUACACGCUCAUACUCAUACAUUCUUGCAAACUCCCUUAAUCAUUCGAAUAACUGUGUCUUCCAUCCUCCUCACUCAGCCGUGAGCUCCGGAAGGGUGGGGAUUAUUCUUAUUCAUCAUUUCUUGCCCCACUCCACUUAGUGCAGUGAUUUGUGGAGAAUAGGGUUUAAUGAAAUUUUUUGUGUUGAUUUUGCUUCAAAAAAGAUUUGAGGCCGGGCAUGGUGGCUCACGUCUGUAAUCCCAGCACUUUGCGAGGCCGAGGUGGGCGGAUCACGA